rnacentral:rRNA from 1 species
AUGACGGCUGAAGUUCUGGUGCUAAGAUUCGGCCUAACCCUUGCGCAAAAGGCGGGCUGCAAUCGUCUCAUUAUUAAUUCUGAUGUGGAGAUCAUUGAUACCAUGAAGAAUGAAGGACAUUCUGCGGGAGCGGCGACGGUAGUUUUUGAUGAUUGUUAUUUUUUUGCUUAUGAUUUUUUUCUUACUAGUUUCGAACAUUGUAGUAGGGGAGCGAACAAAGUUGCUCAUGAGUUUGUUAGGUUAGCUAGAUUUUCUUCAACUAACGAUUGGUUUGAGGAGCCUAUGAGCAAAAUUGUACAUAUCCUACGAUGUAACUAUUAG